UCCUGCCCAGUGACACAGUUCAACGGCCGCGGUAUCCUAACCGUGCAAAGGUAGCAUAAUCACUUGCCUAUUAAUUGUAGGCUAGAAUGAAGGGAAAAACGAAAUAAAGACUGUCUCUACAUACAAAAUAAAAAUUAAUUUCUAACUGAAGAGUGUUAGAUUUAAUCGAAGGACAAGAAGACCCUAUAGAGCUUCAUCUAAGAAAGAAUUAAUUUGUUCUUUUAUAUGAUUCGGUUGGGGCGACCAAGGAUAUUUUAAAUCAUCCUAUAUUAAAAGAUUUAUAAAUCAUAAUCUCUGACCCUUUAAUAAGAGCACAAAAUCAAGCUACCUUAGGGAUAACAGACUAAUCCUGCUUGAGAGUCCUUAUCUAAAGCAGGGGUUGGCACCUCGAUGUUGGCUUAGGGAAACUAUAUGACGCAAAAGUCUUAUAAAGAUGGUUUGUUCAACCAAUAAAUCCCUACAUGAGCUGAGUUCAGACCGGCGUAAGCCAGGUUAGUUUCUAUCCACGAUAAAUAUAAUCUAUUUCUAGUACGAAAGGACCGGAGUAAGAAUAAUUAUUAAAGUUAACGAAUUAAUAUAAAUUUAAUCAUAAAUUUAAUGUACUAAAAACUAUAAGUGUUUUGGCAGAAUAGUGCCACUGAUUUAGGAUCAGUUCAUGGAUAUGUCCACUCACUAAUGCAACUUAGUUUAUUUAGAAUAAUCAACUUGCACUUGAUAGGAGAAAAUUUCAGUAGCGAUUUGAUGUUUUGGAAACAAUAGACCUUGAAAGUCUACUUAAGAUGUUCGAUUCACCUUCAAACCUGACAAGAU
rnacentral:misc_RNA from 1 species